GAUGAAGAACGUAGUGAAAUGCGAUAAGUAGUGUGAAUUGCAGAAUUCAGUGAAUCAUCGAAUCUUUGAACGCACAUUGCGCCCUUUGGUAUUCCAAAGGGCAUGCCUGUUCGAGCGUCAUUUACACCCUCAAGCCUAGCUUGGUGUUGGGCGUCUGUCCCGCCGUUUUCGCGCGCGGACUCGCCUCAAAGUCAUUGGCGGCGGUCGUGCCGGCCCCCUCGCGCAGCACAUUUGCGCUUCUCGGAGGCCCGGCGGAUCCGCGCUCCAGCAAGACCUUUCACGACUUGACCUCGGAUCAGGUAGGGAUACCCGCUGAACUUAAGCAUAUCAAUAAGCGGAGGA
rnacentral:misc_RNA from 1 species